GGGGGUGACCAGGUUUCGACGGGUUUAGCGAGGAGUUGUCGGCGUGCCGGGGAUGUCUGGAGCCCCGUUACCAAUUCAGGCAAACCGAUAAAUGGCGAAGCUAAUUUCGCUAUGGCUGCCUAAGAGAGAAUCUUAGGUUCAGCCCGUCGCGCCCGAUUUUGUCUUUCGGGUCGGGAGCCGCGGCGUCGAUGACGGAAGGCUCGGUCGGCUGAUGUCUCUAAAGCGGGCUUAAAGCUCAGAGGCUGGCUUCGGCGGUGGCCUGUCGAUCGGCAGCGGUCGGAGCGAGAAUGGUAGAUCGACUACGCACGUAGUUCGGCGGCUUGGCGUUAGAUUCGGACGGGGGUUCGAUUCCCCCCACCUCCAAAU
rnacentral:tmRNA from 1 species